AUUGAACGCUGGCGGCAUGCCUUACACAUGCAAGUCGAACGGCAGCACGGGAGCAAUCCUGGUGGCGAGUGGCGAACGGGUGAGUAAUAUAUCGGAACGUGCCCAGUCGUGGGGGAUAACGUAGCGAAAGCUACGCUAAUACCGCAUACGAUCUACGGAUGAAAGCGGGGGAUCGCAAGACCUCGCGCGAUUGGAGCGGCCGAUAUCAGAUUAGGUAGUUGGUGGGGUAAAGGCCUACCAAGCCUGCGAUCUGUAGCUGGUCUGAGAGGACGACCAGCCACACUGGAACUGAGACACGGUCCAGACUCCUACGGGAGGCAGCAGUGGGGAAUUUUGGACAAUGGGCGCAAGCCUGAUCCAGCAAUGCCGCGUGCAGGAUGAAGGCCUUCGGGUUGUAAACUGCUUUUGUUACGGAGCGAAACGGCUUUCUCUAAUACAGGGGCGUAAUGACGGUACCGUAAGAAUAAGCACCGGCUAACUACGUGCCAGCACG
rnacentral:rRNA from 1 species